CUGCAUGGCUGUCGUCAGCUCGUGUCGUGAGAUGUUGGGUUAAGUCCCGCAACGAGCGCAACCCUGCCUUUAGUUGCCAGCAGUUCGGCUGGGCACUCUAAAGGGACUGCCGGUGUUAAACCGGAGGAAGGUGGGGAGUGACGUCAAGUCCUCAUGGCCUUUAUGACCAGGGCUACACACGUACUACAAUGGCCGAUACAAAGGGCAGCGACACUGCGAGGUGAAGCCAAUCCCGUAAAAUCGGUCUCAGUCCGGAUUGGAGUCUGCAACUCGACUCCAUGAAGCUGGAAUCGCUAGUAAUCGUGGAUCAGCCAAGCCGCGGUGAAUACGUUCCCGGGCCUU
rnacentral:rRNA from 1 species